rnacentral:rRNA from 1 species
GAUGAACGCUGGCGGCGUGCCUAAUACAUGCAAGUCGAGCGAACAGACGAGGAGCUUGCUCCUCUGACGUUAGCGGCGGACGGGUGAGUAACACGUGGAUAACCUACCUAUAAGACUGGGAUAACUUCGGGAAACCGGAGCUAAUACCGGAUAAUAUAUUGAACCGCAUGGUUCAAUAGUGAAAGACGGUUUUGCUGUCACUUAUAGAUGGAUCCGCGCCGCAUUAGCUAGUUGGUAAGGUAACGGCUUACCAAGGCAACGAUGCGUAGCCGACCUGAGAGGGUGAUCGGCCACACUGGAACUGAGACGCGGUCCAGACUCCUACGAGAGGCAGCAGUAGGGAAUCUUCCGCAAUGGGCGGAAGCCUGACGGAACAACGCCGCGUGAGUGAUGAAGGUCUUCGGAUCGUAAAACUCUGUUAUUAGGGAAGAACAAAUGUGUAAGUAACUAUGCACGUCUUGACGGUACCUAAUCAGAAAGCCACGGCUAACUACGUG